CAGUAGCCGCGGGAAUACGUAGGUGGCAAGCGUUGUCCGGAUUUAUUGGGCGUAAAGCGAGCGCAGGCGGUUUCUUAAGUCUGAUGUGAAAGCCCCCGGCUCAACCGGGGAGGGUCAUUGGAAACUGGGAGACUUGAGUGCAGAAGAGGAGAGUGGAAUUCCAUGUGUAGCGGUGAAAUGCGUAGAUAUAUGGAGGAACACCAGUGGCGAAGGCGGCUCUCUGGUCUGUAACUGACGCUGAGGCUCGAAAGCGUGGGGAGCGAACAGGAUUAGAUACCCCGGUAGUCCCUGUCUCUUAUAU
rnacentral:rRNA from 1 species